CAGGGCCUACUUGGAGCUUGAGAUCACCCUUUCUCAGGAGCAGAUUCAGAAGUACACGGACUGCCUGCAGUUCUACGUGAACAGCACACUUAAGGAACUGAGGAGGCUCUUCCUUGUCCAGGACCUGGUGGAUUCCUUAAAAUUUGCAGUCCUGAUGUGGCUCCUGACCUACGUUGGCGCUCUGUUCAAUGGCCUGACCCUGCUGCUCAUGGGUAAGAGCAGAUGAGAGUGUAUACGUCUUCCUUCACACCCUCUGUGAAAAUGCUGCUUCCUAGGCUGUAAGCUUUUUGUUUGUUUAAAGAG
rnacentral:sRNA from 1 species